rnacentral:rRNA from 1 species
CGGCGAGUGAAGCGGUAACAGCUCAAAUUUGAAAGCUGGCCCCCCCCGGGGCCCGCGUUGUAAUUUGCAGAAGAUGCUUCGGGCGUCGCCCCGGUCUAAGUUCCUUGGAACAGGACGUCAGAGAGGGUGAGAAUCCCGUACGGGACUGGACGCGUGCGCCCGGGUGAAGCUCUUUCGACGAGUCGAGUUGUUUGGGAAUGCAGCUCUAAAUGGGUGGUAUAUUUCAUCUAAAGCUAAAUACUGGCCAGAGACCGAUAGCGCACAAGUAGAGUGAUCGAAAGAUGAAAAGCACUUUGGAAAGAGAGUUAAACAGUACGUGAAAUUGUUGAAAGGGAAGCGCUUGCCCCCAGACUUGCGCGCCGCCGAUCACCCGGGCUUCUGCCCGGGGCACGCGGCGGCGCGCAGGCCAGCAUCGGUUCCGGUGGUGGGACAAAGGCCUUGGGAACGUAGCUCCCCUCGGGGAGUGUUAUAGCCCUCGGUGCAAUGCCGCCUACCGGGACCGAGGACCGCGCUCCGGCUAGGAUGCUGGCGUAAUGGGUGCAAGCGACCCGUCUUGAAACACGGACCAA